rnacentral:rRNA from 2 species
UUAAGCGACUAAGCGUACACGGUGGAUGCCCUGGCAGUCAGAGGCGAUGAAGGACGUGCUAAUCUGCGAUAAGCGUCGGUAAGGUGAUAUGAACCGUUAUAACCGGCGAUUUCCGAAUGGGGAAACCCAGUGUGUUUCGACACACUAUCAUUAACUGAAUCCAUAGGUUAAUGAGGCGAACCGGGGGAACUGAAACAUCUAAGUACCCCGAGGAAAAGAAAUCAACCGAGAUUCCCCCAGUAGCGGCGAGCGAACGGGGAGGAGCCCAGAGCCUGAAUCAGUGUGUGUGUUAGUGGAAGCGUAUGGAAAGGCGCGCGAUACAGGGUGACAGCCCCGUACACAAAAAUGCACAUGCUGUGAGCUCGAUGAGUAGGGCGGGACACGUGGUAUCCUGUCUGAAUAUGGGGGGACCAUCCUCCAAGGCUAAAUACUCCUGACUGACCGAUAGUGAACCAGUACCGUGAGGGAAAGGCGAAAAGAACCCCGGCGAGGGGAGUGAAAAAGAACCUGAAACCGUGUACGUACAAGCAGUGGGAGCACAGAGCAAUCUGUGUGACUGCGUACCUUUUGUAUAAUGGGUCAGCGACUUAUAUUCUGUAGCAAGGUUAACCGAAUAGGGGAGCCGAAGGGAAACCGAGUCUUAACUGGGCGUUAAGUUGCAGGGUAUAGACCCGAAACCCGGUGAUCUAGCCAUGGGCAGGUUGAAGGUUGGGUAACACUAACUGGAGGACCGAACCGACUAAUGUUGAAAAAUUAGCGGAUGACUUGUGGCUGGGGGUGAAAGGCCAAUCAAACCGGGAGAUAGCUGGUUCUCCCCGAAAGCUAUUUAGGUAGCGCCUCGUGAAUUCAUCUCCGGGGGUAGAGCACUGUUUCGGCAAGGGGGUCAUCCCGACUUACCAACCCGAUGCAAACUGCGAAUACCGGAGAAUGUUAUCACGGGAGACACACGGCGGGUGCUAACGUCCGUCGUGAAGAGGGAAACAACCCAGACCGCCAGCUAAGGUCCCAAAGUCAUGGUUAAGUGGGAAACGAUGUGGGAAGGCCCAGACAGCCAGGAUGUUGGCUUAGAAGCAGCCAUCAUUUAAAGAAAGCGUAAUAGCUCACUGGUCGAGUCGGCCUGCGCGGAAGAUGUAACGGGGCUAAACCAUGCACCGAAGCUGCGGCAGCGACGCUUAUGCGUUGUUGGGUAGGGGAGCGUUCUGUAAGCCUGCGAAGGUGUGCUGUGAGGCAUGCUGGAGGUAUCAGAAGUGCGAAUGCUGACAUAAGUAACGAUAAAGCGGGUGAAAAGCCCGCUCGCCGGAAGACCAAGGGUUCCUGUCCAACGUUAAUCGGGGCAGGGUGAGUCGACCCCUAAGGCGAGGCCGAAAGGCGUAGUCGAUGGGAAACAGGUUAAUAUUCCUGUACUUGGUGUUACUGCGAAGGGGGGACGGAGAAGGCUAUGUUGGCCGGGCGACGGUUGUCCCGGUUUAAGCGUGUAGGCUGGUUUUCCAGGCAAAUCCGGAAAAUCAAGGCUGAGGCGUGAUGACGAGGCACUACGGUGCUGAAGCAACAAAUGCCCUGCUUCCAGGAAAAGCCUCUAAGCAUCAGGUAACAUCAAAUCGUACCCCAAACCGACACAGGUGGUCAGGUAGAGAAUACCAAGGCGCUUGAGAGAACUCGGGUGAAGGAACUAGGCAAAAUGGUGCCGUAACUUCGGGAGAAGGCACGCUGAUAUGUAGGUGAAGCGCCUUGCGGAUGGAGCUGAAAUCAGUCGAAGAUACCAGCUGGCUGCAACUGUUUAUUAAAAACACAGCACUGUGCAAACACGAAAGUGGACGUAUACGGUGUGACGCCUGCCCGGUGCCGGAAGGUUAAUUGAUGGGGUUAGCGGUAACGCGAAGCUCUUGAUCGAAGCCCCGGUAAACGGCGGCCGUAACUAUAACGGUCCUAAGGUAGCGAAAUUCCUUGUCGGGUAAGUUCCGACCUGCACGAAUGGCGUAAUGAUGGCCAGGCUGUCUCCACCCGAGACUCAGUGAAAUUGAACUCGCUGUGAAGAUGCAGUGUACCCGCGGCAAGACGGAAAGACCCCGUGAACCUUUACUAUAGCUUGACACUGAACAUUGAGCCUUG